GACGAACGCUGGCGGCGUGCUUAACACAUGCAAGUCGAGCGGUAAGGCCCUUUUGGGGGUACACGAGCGGCGAACGGGUGAGUAACACGUGGGUGACCUGCCCUCAGCUCUGGGAUAAGCCUGGGAAACUGGGUCUAAUACUGGAUAUGACCUUUCCUCGCAUGGGGUUGGGUGGAAAGUUUUUCGGCUGGGGAUGGGCCCGGCGGCCUAUCAGCUUGUUGGUGGGGUGAUGGCCUACCAAGGCGACGACGGGUAGCCGGCCUGAGAGGGCGACCGGCCACACUGGGACUGAGACACGGCCCAGACUCCUACGGGAGGCAGCAGUGGGGAAUAUUGCGCAAUGGGCGGAAGCCUGACGCAGCGACGCCGCGUGGGGGAUGACGGCCU
rnacentral:rRNA from 1 species